ensembl:lncRNA
UCAGCACGGUGUAGGUGAGACUCGUGCAGGUGUCAGAUUUCAUGUGGAACGUCAGCCAAUGAGACAUUCACAUCGCAGCCCUGUCAAACGCGCACAGGAGUUAAGACAGCCAGGAAGUUCCCAUUCCGCCAGGAAGGUUGACAUAGGAGCUCAUAUGAGAAUAGAGACAGUCAUCAGCGCAUGUGAACGACACAUCCAGCAGUGGACUAAAAUUUGGAGGAAUAAGUUUUGGUCAAAGUGGGACAUGGGAAGGACUCGUGAUACCCUGAAUAAGAAGAUGCUGCGUUUACUCUUUCUGUUUUUGAUUCUUCGAGGUGCAGCUGCAACAUCAGAAGACACAGAAGGAAAUUAUUCAGGAGAUGACAUCGUUGACGAUGAAGACGGUGAUGCUCCAGUGGAGACAAGGCGUAUUCAAUAUUCAGAUCCUGGAGAAAUUCCUAAAGUAGGUCCCGGAUCAGAUAGAUCCACAGGAGAUGAUGAAGCUAAUGAAGGUGGAACAUUGAUAAUCAUCAUAGCUGCCGUUAGCGUCAUAGUUCUGGCCAUUGGAGGCAUUGUAGCUAUUUUCCUCUUCAGACGCUACUUGCAAAGCCGAGAACAAGGGGUCUACUCUGUGCCAGCAGAGCAAGGACAGAAAGCUGCUGUGUAACCAUGAGGGCCUUUUCAUUUCCUCUCUCCACUGGAUCCUUUCAGGGAUGAGCUGCAAGCAUGUGAUUUCUCAUCCGAACAUGUCUCUAUCUACAGUAUAGCGGAUCCUAUAACGUCAGUAGACGAGAAUGUGUUGCUAUCAUAAAUUUUCUAUGAACUGUUUUUAAAAGCACAAUAUAUACCGUUUAUGCACACAUGCCAUAUGUUGCACUCACAGAGAAAGUCCUUGGACUGUGGAGUACAGCU